UAAGGGCUUGGGAAACCUGUUUGUCAGCCUGUGGGGCAUGCUCUGGUGAUCACAAUACAUUGGUUAUUAAUUUCCCAGGGGCUGCUUUUGUUAACUUGCAGGUGGCUGGGAAUUAGUUGACUCAGCUUCUCUUAGGAGCCUCAUGGUUUCUGGGUCUGGGAUCGCCUAGAUCUGAGCCCUGUCAUUCCAGCCUUUUAUAUUAUAGGAUUGGGGAUGGAGUUUCUCAUCUGGCUACUUCCUGAUUUUUGCUUCCAUAAGGUGUUCAGCAAACAUGCUAAGGUGACAGAAUGUCUAGUUGGUCAUGACAUGCAGUGCUGACCAUUGAACUGAUGACAGUCAACCACACCCAAGCUACGGCCCCAGAGCACAAAGGGGAUCUGCAAGGAACAUACCAAACCACACAGCAAUCAGCAACCUGAGGUAGGUCUCUUUACAGUACAAAAAACUUCUAGACCAGUGUGAGACACUGAUUAGCAAGAGCUGCUGAAAGGCGCAGACUUUGGAGAGGAGACUGUGUAGUGAGGAAGGAGAACAGACCCCCCCAAUUCUGAACCCUGUCACUGAACUGUAGAGGUGUGCGAA